rnacentral:tRNA from 1 species
GGUAUAUAGCUCAGUUGGUAGAGUGUUUGCCUACAUGCAUAAGGCACUGGGUUCAUUCCCAGCACCA